AUUGAACGCUGGCGGCAGGCCUAACACAUGCAAGUCGAACGAGUGGCGGACGGGUGAGUAAUGUCUGGGAAACUGCCCGAUGGAGGGGGAUAACUACUGGAAACGGUAGCUAAUACCGCAUACCAUCGGAUGUGCCCAGAUGGGAUUAGCUUGUAGGUUAGGUAACGGCUCACCUAGGCGACGAUCCCUAGCUGGUCUGAGAGGAUGACCAGCCACACUGGAACGGAGACACUGUCCAGACUCCUACGGGAGGCAGCAGUUGGGAAUAUUGAACAAGGGGGGCAAGUCUGAUGCACGCAUGGCGCGUGUAUGAAGAAGGCCUUCGGGUUUUAAAGUACUUUCAGCGGGGAGGCGUUACCCGCAGAAGAAGCACCGGCUAACUCCGUGCCAGCCGCCGCGGUAAUUC
rnacentral:rRNA from 1 species